rnacentral:rRNA from 1 species
UACGUAGGGGGCAAGCGUUGUUCGGAUUCACUGGGCGUAAAGGGUGCGUAGGUGGUCGGGUAAGUUUAAGGUGAAAGCUCCGGGCUCAACCCGGAAAUGGCCUUGAAUACUAUCCGGCUCGAGGGUUGGAGGGGGGACUGGAAUUCUCGGUGUAGCAGUGAAAUGCGUAGAUAUCGAGAGGAACACCAGUGGCGAAGGCGAGUCCCUGGACAACACCUGACACUGAGGCACGAAAGCUAGGGGAUCAAACGGG